GGAGUUUUCGCUGGCUACUACGAGGCCGGAGCGCCCUUGGCCUCUCUGCGUCCCUGGCCCUCGUGCGGUACCGGCGGCGUCUUGUCAUACACUUGCGCACACACAGGGAAUCUCAGCGGUGUGCUAUUCGUUUUUUUGUCCCCCACUCUGGGAGAAGGGGGGUGCAGCCCCCAGUUCACUCUGGAGAGGAAACUGAGGCUCAGAGAGGGGAGGCCGAGCCAAGGUCACGCCACCUCUAGAAAUGGAGGUGCUGGGUCUCGCACCUCCUCCUGCUGGUUUCAGAGUGUGAGGAGCCUCUAUCCCAGCUUCCCACGCUUUGUCCCUUACUAGCCUCGAGGUACCGCAGUCUGUGCUGCCACAGCAGCCUCUGGCUCAUUGCCCAUGCUUUCCUGCCUGAGGUUUAGAGCCUAGCACAAGUCCUGACACACAGCGGGCACUCCCUUUUCUCUUCCCUAGAGCAUCUUGUCUUGAGAUCCUGUGACAGCAUCUUUUGCCCUGGACUGUCAUGACCGGCCUCCCAAGCAGACUAAUGGUCCCAGGAAGAUGGUCACACCUUGCUCCCCAUACAGAACACCUAACUCUGGGCUUGGCUUCAGGCUUAGAACAACAGAUGAAGUUACGUGGCCUGGGCCCACACCCAAAUGCCCCAACUAGCUAACUCUGACUUUUGAGCCUUAGCCUCUCUUUAGCUUUGGUUGUCCCAUCUGUAAAAUGAAGAUAAAAGUGGAGCUUCUCAGAGGAAGAUUUAAUGAGCCCUCAGAGCAGGGGAAGAACUCAGGAAAAAUCUGCCUACAACCACUUCCUGGAACAACCUGCUUCCAAGUUGCUGUUCCUGAGGCGUGCCUUAAAACACUAACUUUGGUGGAAGCCCCAUGAAGCGUUUUUGUUUUGCUUUGUUUUGUUCCCACAGAAGGC
rnacentral:lncRNA from 10 species